UCCUCAAUCUCAGUGGUCUCAUGACAUGGUGUCCUUGCUAUGGAUUCCCAUCAGAUGGAACAAUUUAAUCUGUGAAGUCCCAAUAAGUUUUUGUAUGUGGAGGUGUCUGGGUAUUUUCUGUUGGCUGUCCAUCUAGAAUGUCUCCGGUUCUUGUUAGCUCCUGGCUCUUAUCCGACUGAUUAUUGGAAUGUCUUCCAUGAGGAGAACUGUUUUGUUGUACAGUAAUACUUCAGAGUUUGGGACACAGCAGGUGCAUCUAACCUAAAGGAUCCAGGAAUGCAGAGGUCAAAUGGCUAAUGGACAAAGGAAUGCUGAGACCA